rnacentral:rRNA from 1 species
AUACGUAGGGGGCGAGCGUUGUCCGGAAUGAUUGGGCGUAAAGGGCGCGUAGGCGGCGCGGUAAGUCUGGAGUGAAAGUCCUGCUUUCAAGGUGGGAAUUGCUUUGGAUACUGCCGCGCUUGAGUGCAGGAGAGGUUAUCGGAAUUCCCGGUGUAGCGGUGAAAUGCGUAGAGAUCGGGAGGAACACCAGUGGCGAAGGCGGGUAACUGGACUGCAACUGACGCUGAGGCGCGAAAGUGUGGGGAGCAAACAGGAUUAGAUACCCUGGUAGUCCACACUGUAAACGAUGAAUGCUAGGUGUAAGAGGUAUCGACCCCUUUUGUGCCGCAGUCAACACAAUAAGCAUUCCGCCUGGGGAGUACGGCCGCAAGGUUGAAACUCAAAGGAAUUGGCGGGG